rnacentral:lncRNA from 1 species
UGCGCGGGGCUCGGGAGAGCGCGGAGUCCGGCAGGCUGAGAGCAGAGCCUGAGUGCGCCGCCGGUUCAGCCGGGCAGGGUCGCCUCGCGCCAGGAUGCUGCGCCCCGCCGCCCUGUCCAGCCAGCAACCCUGGCGCGACCCCGGGAAGAAGCACAGGUUCUUUCGUCCAGUCGCCGCUGGAGGACCGAAAGUUUUGCUCGCUGCAAGUCUCUUCCUCCCAGAGUCCCAGUCACCCACCAUGCGACGUCCCAGAAGGAUCCCGGAGGCUUAGUGGGAACGAAAUCGGCUGUUUUGCACCCCUCCAUCCUUAUCCCUCAGGGUAGAGCAGGGACUCUAGAGAGUACACCUCCCAGCUACCAUCCACUUCACCCUGUCUCCUCUCUCGGUGAGCCUUGGAAUCCGGUCUCUUCGCAGAUGCCUUCAGGAGUCAGAAGCAAAGGGGAAAUGGACAUAACUCCGAGAAACCGAGCAAGCAGGUUGGCCAGAGGACUUCGCAUCACCGGAGAACCUGACUGCCAGGUUUUAUUUCACAUUUAGAUACGGUUCUUCUGGUGAAGAUAGAAGGCAAAAAAAGUGAAUUUCGCCUGGAGUCCUUGGGAGACUGAGGCAGCAGGAUGUGUAGCGUGUGACCUGUGGCAACAGUCAUCGUGGAGGUAGUCUUCCUAAGAAAUGUACCCUAGCCCGUGCAGAUGCAUCCUGUACACCCAGGCUCAGUAGCCACAGCCAACAGAAGUCUCCGCAAAGAUUCUCCCAAGGUGCAUUUUCCAAAUUAAAUAUCUGUGACCUGGAGAGAUGUGUGGUCUUGUCUUCUAAUAUCCAAAAGACAACCCCUAGCUCAGUGUGGGUGAGUAGUAAGGAGUGAACGUCCAGCCUCAGCAACAGCUUUGCCACCAUGAGCUUCAUUGAUCACAUCCUACCACAACUAGGAGACCUAAACCUUGCUCACUGACAGCAUUUGAAGAUGCAAAUACUGCUAUGGAUUGGAAGGUGCCUGAGGAAUGAAAGGGGACAUAGCCAGAUUGACCCAGGAUUGAUUGAACUGUCUGCUCGGCUCUGGUAGUGAUGGAGCCCGAGGAUUGGCUGGACUCUGCCAAGAGUAUGACCCACCUCGUGAGAUUUUAGGGAAGAAAGACCAUAGUGAUUGCAUCUAUUAAGAAGCCCUUACUGACCUGCAUGGUGAGGCUCGUGUGAAAUUUCAGCAUGCGGGAGAUUGAGACAGAAGGAUCACAAGUUCAAGGCCACCCUAGGCUAUGUAUCAAGAACUUUUUUUGAACAAAGAAAAAAGAAACGGCAGUACAUAAUUUCUCCUAGGGCUGGAGAUGAGGCUGUCAGCUGAGAGCUCCUGCUUGCCGAAGACCAUGGGCUGGAAUCCCUGUACUGCAUGGACCAGAUGUGGUGGCACAUGAAGGUCAAGGCUAUCCUCAACCACACAUGAGUUCAAGGUCAGCCUGGGAUACAUGCAAUCCUGUCUCAAAACAAAGAACAGUUCUUUCAAGAGGAAAUCUUAACAUUAAGGCUGUGCUGAUCCAAGACUCUUAUUCUCAGGCUCUGCCCAAUAUGAAAGAGAGUCUUCUGGCUGCCUUCAAAUCAAGAUGUAGAACCCUCGACUCUUCUGGGACCAUGUUUGCCUACACACUGCCAUAUUUCCUGCCAUGAUGAUAAUGGAUUGAACCUCUGAAACGGUCCAUGGUAAUUUGUUACAGUAGCCCCAGAGCUCUCCUUGCAGAUGAAGUAGAAGCCUGGGUCUAAAGAGACUUUGGCAAUGCUUUCAAGGGAUUGUUCCAGGGUGAGUGGACUAGGAAAGAGAUGGCCCUUCAGAUCAGCCAUCCUGUGAUCUGAACCCUAAAUAUCAAGACAGCCUUGCCAACUGGAGAAAGUUUUCUUAGAGGAAGGCGCUGUCAGUGCAAAGUCCCUGUGGUGGAGUCCACGAGCCAGAACACACUCCUCUGAGGAAGGAUGGAAACCCUCUGUCAGCGGAGGCUGCUUCUGGCUGUUUUUGUCCUGCCUUGGAGCUAACCUGGAAGUAAGCAUGUGAGGCUCUUGAUCAAGUAUGAUCAAGGAGGAUUUUUUUGGAUUCAGCUAAGGUCGUGGUUUGGGCUUUAAACUCUGCUGGCAACGUGGAACAAAACGCAUGGUUGAGAUUGACCAGGGAGGAAACUGUCUUCCUAAGUCAGCAAAGGGACCCACAUUGAGUGUAUUGUUUGUGCAAAGGCCCCAGAGCUCAACAUCAGCAGAAAAUGUGACACGACAAAGCUGUCAGCAAAGGUGACAUGCAUCUGCAAUGCUUUCAAGAUCAGGGAACACCUCAAGGGGCUUGGCAAGUGUGCUGCUUUCAGAGAUGUGACUGGGUAGCACAGCUUAUGGGGUCAUAGGAACAGAUAGUUAUUCACUUAUUCAUUCAAUUAAUAAAUGUUUAAUGAGCACCUAUCAAGUUCCCAACACCAACUAGACUUUGGGGAAAUAGCAGUGAGUGGGCCAUAGACGGCGAUGACUUCACAGAACUUACUGGAAAAGGACACAGCACGUUUGCUGUGUGAUUAUUAUUUUCCACUAUUAUUAAAGUUUUUCGAUUAUUAAAUUGUUGUAGUAAUAAAACAGAAAAAAGUAAUUAUAGAAAUAUAUAGUAGCUGGGUGGUGGGUGUUACACACCUUUAAUCCUAGCACUCAGGAGGCAAAGGCUGGAAGAUCUCCGAGUUAGAGGCCAACCUGGUCUACCGAGCAAGUUCUAGGACAGCCAGAGCUACAGGGAGAAACCCAGUCUCAAAAAAACAAACAAAAAUCAUAGUCUUCUGAAUUUGCUUUUUAGUUAAUAUGUCUUGAGUACCCUCUGUUCACAAAUACUCAUUUCUUUUUAAGAGCUGAGUAGUAGUCUACAUUAUGAAUGCAGCACAGUGUAACUGUGGUCUUCUUGGUAGAGCUUGUCUGUACUAUAAAUAACAUGCAAAGAAAACUACCGAGCAUGUCUUUAUGUAGCCUAUGGGCGCAUUUUUAAAGGGCAAACACAUAAAAGUGAAUGUGGGUCAAAGGGGACUGAGUAAUUUAAUCGAGACAUUGCUAUGAUGAGCCCACAUGUCCUACACCCCCAGCAACACGGGUGUCAGGGGUGGCCAUCCUGUCCAAUGGGAAUGACAGCCACUUGUUUAAAUGAACCAUUCUAACCUCUACUUCAGCCGAUGUGAAGCAGCCUAACAGGAAGUAGUCUAAGGCCUCAUAAAGUGUGUGCUGUGACCCCAUGUGGUGUCAUGAGGCUAAAUCUGAAGGUCUCAAAGGCUUUGGCCGUAUUAAAAGCUCACUGAACAUACAACAAUUAAAAAGUAGUUUUAAGCCACACAACCCAGUGCUCCCGGGGUUGCCGCAUCACAGGCCCUCACAAAGCCUUUCUUCUGAACACUACACCCGUAUUUUGCACCGUGUAUGACGUUACUCAGUGCUGAUGGUUCCUGCCGGGGAAGGCUCAGCUCAGAUUUGAGCUACGACUGCUGUAGAGUGCUCCACUGUGCAUGCAGUUUUCUGCUCUUGCAGACAGGCCAGGCUGGAACUGUGGAAAACAGAGUGUUUUCCUGCCGUCCUUCCUCGGCCCAUGGGUAUGAAGUUAUUGUGUCUCUGACUGUUCGCUGUUAGAAAGUUUGAUGUUAAGAAUUGUUAUUUGAGAGCUGGGUGUGGUGGUGCACGCCUUUAAUCCCAGCACUCAGGAGGCAGAGGCAGGUGGAUAUCUGAAUUCAAGGCCAGCCUGGUCUACAAAGUGAGUUCCAGGACAGCCAGGGCUACACAGAGAAACCCUAUCUCAAAAAAAAAAAAAAAAAAAAAAAGAAUUGUUAUUUGAGUUUCAUAGAAAUCAUUCAGUGGAUUAUGGUGUGGGAGUAGGACAGAAUCUCUAAUAAUUCUGAAGGGGUCCCAGUCAUACUCCCAACAUUUUGUACUAUGCAUUCGUGAGAGGCAGCCUUCUUGGUAUUGACAGUUAUACAAUCAAAAUAUUGACCCACUCUGAAAGAUGAUGGAGGUGCUGGAGAUCCUACAAUAUCACAUAUCCAGCCAAGACUUGGUUCAUUUAUGGAAACAAGCAUGGUGUCGAAUUAUUAUGCAAACUUGCUUUAAUCGUUAAUAAAUAGUAAAAAUUACAUGUAUACUACAGAAUUGCUUUAAAAUAAAUUUCUUUAUGAUUUGGAUCCUGAUAUAUCGCUCAGGCUGGUUCUGAACUCCUGCAGUUUGCUGCUUCAUCCUCGAUGGAGGUGAGACCACAGACAGCAUUAUGCCUGGCACCGACCUGGUUUCAACUCGGCUUCUAAGGCAAUAACUCUGCCUGUCUGUCCAAUAGGACACAACAAAUACUGCUUCUGAGGUGCCUGCCGCACCUUCUCUGUGGGACUGCGUUUUGCUGCGCUGCUGGGGUGUCAUGACACCCCUCAGGGAAGUGAAACAGAGGUGCUUGGCUACUUUCCUUCCUUACCACCACCGGGGUGCUGUGUUUGCGGGACACACUGAAACAAGACGCUGCUGGUGGAGCUUCCGUGUCUGACAUCUGAUCACGCUGAGGAAGACCCUGGCCUAAACUCUCCUGAGACAACAGCACCGAAGAACGAUUAAUCCUCCGGCGGUAGCGACUAGUCUAGUCUGUUCACUUAAAAGAAGCCAAACAGAAAACUGCCUGCCACCCUUAGCCUCACACCGACCAUGAACUAGAAUACGAAAGCCCCGCUUUGUGUUUGUGAACUCGUGGGGCUGAUAAGAAAGAACACAGCCUUGGAGCUAGAUGCCUUCUGGUUUGAAUCCCAAGCUCGAGUUUACUAAGUACAAACUUUUUCUCAGAAUCUGUGUCUGAUUCCUUAUAAAUAAGGAUAAUGUCUCUUUCACCAGGCUGCUGAGAUGCACCUGCCAUGUAUGGUGAGUUCAAUAAAUGUUUCUUUCUUUUCUGGCUUAGGUUAAAAAUAG